rnacentral:rRNA from 1 species
CACACCGGAACUGAGACACGGUCCGGACUCCUACGGGAGGCAGCAGUGGGGAAUAUUGGACAAUGGGCGCAAGCCUGAUCCAGCAAUUCCGCGUGUGUGAAGAAGGCCUUCGGGUUGUAAAGCACUUUAGGCAGGGACGAAAAAAUCGGCGCGAAUAGCGCCGGUCUUGACGGUACCUGAAGAAUAAGCACCGGCUAACUCUGUGCCAGCCGCCGCCGUAACAC